rnacentral:rRNA from 1 species
UACGUAGGGUGCAAGCGUUGUCCGGAAUUAUUGGGCGUAAAGAGCUUGUAGGCGGUUUGUCGCGUCUGCUGUGAAAUUUCGGGGCUCAACCCCGAACUUGCAGUGGGUACGGGCAGACUAGAGUCCGGUAGGGGAGUGUGGAAUUCCUGGUGUAGCGGUGAAAUGCGCAGAUAUCAGGAGGAACACCAACGGCGAAGGCAGCACUCUGGGCCGGUACUGACGCUGAGGAGCGAAAGCGUGGGGAGCGAACAGG